UACGGAGGGUGCAAGCGUUAUCCGGAUUCACUGGGUUUAAAGGGUGCGUAGGUGGGCAGGUAAGUCAGUGGUGAAAUCUCCGGGCUUAACCCGGAAACUGCCGUUGAUACUAUCUGUCUUGAAUAUAGAGGAGAUGAGCGGAAUAUGUCAUGUAGCGGUGAAAUGCUUAGAUAUGACAUAGAACAUCGAUUGCGAAGGCAGCUCGUUACACUAUCAUUGACACUGAGGCACGAAAGCGUGGGGAUCAAACAGG
rnacentral:rRNA from 1 species